GGAUUAGAUACCCUGGUAGUCCUAGCUGUAAACGAUGGAUACUAGACGUAGGAACUGGAUUGACGGUUUCUGUGUCGCAGCUAACGCGUUAAGUAUCCCGCCUGGGGACUACGAUCGCAAGAUUGAAACUCAAAGGAAUUGACGGGGACCCGCACAAGCGGUGGAACAUGUGGUUUAAUUCGAUGAUACGCGAAGAACCUUACCUGGGUUUGACAUGUUAGUGAAAGUUUUCUGAAAAGAAUUCCCUUUAAGAGCUUGCUCUUAAACACUAUCACAGGUGGUGCAUGGCUGUCGUCAGCUCGUGCUG
rnacentral:rRNA from 1 species